GUUCUCACAAUGGGGCCAUAGGCCUCAGUUCAUCAAGAGAACUGAGCCUUUGAGGAUUUGCUAGGAAACUCUUGACUGAAGGGACGCCGGUGGAUGAAUCACUUUGUUUCUUAUGGAAAAGAUGAAAACUUUCUUUGUGGUUAUCUUGGCUACUGACUAUUUCUUACCAAAACGAUACCAACAAGAGAAGCCCAUGAUGUGAAACUAAAUCUGCUGGCAGGAUGGCACAAGUAGACGGGAGGCCGGGAGGAGGCUCAGUUGCAGCAGCUGAAAGAAGUCAAGGCUGUGAAGUAGAACAUAAAAUAUGAAGAUAUUUCUGGUAACAAUCCAUAUGCGGACAUUACAUGCGGUUAUUAUCGAAGGAAGUCUGCACAGGAGAACCGAAUAUGCUCCCUAACAGUCUACCCAUUAUGUGCCUCUAAUAAUGUUACAUACUCUAAUGCCUGCAUGUUCUGCUUCGCUAACAUAGCUAUGCACCUCUCUCUUAAAAUUCGAUACGAUGGAAAAUGCGGAAAGGCCAAAAGUCCUGAACAGAAUUUGAUUUUCCUUCCUUCAUCAUAAGUGAACUCAUUUGAAUUAAGCAUCAUCCUUCCUUCAAAAAGCAAAAUUCAUUAUAUUACCUUAUUUUUUAAAGAUCAAUAAAUUUUAUUCUACAGAAAGCUCUUCUUUAACUCAAGACAUAUUUAAUGACAUGCGCCAGAGUUGUGUUUGGUUCUAGAAAUGCAGAGUUGAGUAGGAAGUGACCCCUGACUUUGUGCAACUCACUGUCUGAUAGGCUAAUUGGACAACUCUUUCAUUUAUUCAGUAAAUAUUCUUUAAGGACUUACAAGACUGAGAGACUUGGAUAGACUCUGUGUCCUCAGUAGUAAUCAAAACAGGUCUGUGCCCUUGUGCAGUUUACAAUCCAGCGAGGGAACAAGAAAACAUAUGAUUAUUAAAAAAUGUGAUAAAAU
rnacentral:lncRNA from 1 species